UGAGUACGAGACGCUACGGCGUCGAAGCAGUCUAUGUCAUACUUCCAAGAAAAGCUUGCACUGUCAUAAACAAAUAAUGCCUGUACCAUAACCGACACAGGUGGGUAGGUAGAGUAUACUAAGGGGCGCGAGAUAACUCUCUCUAAGGAACUCGGCAAAAUGACUCCGUAACUUCGGGAGAAGGAGUGCCUUAUUCUUAAGGUUGCAAUAACAAGAUCCAAGCAACUGUUUAUCAAAAACACAGGUCUCCGCUAAGUCGUAAGACGAUGUAUGGGGGCUGACGCCUGCCCAGUGCCAGAAGGUUAAAGAAGUUGGUUAGCAUUCGCGAAGCUGAUAACUGAAGCCCUGGUGAACGGCGGCCGUAACGAUAACGGUCCUAAGGUAGCGAAAUUCCUUGUCGGGUAAGUUCCGACCCGCACGAAAGGCGUAAUGAUUUGGGUGCUGUCUCGGAGAGGGGCUCGGUGAAAUAGACUUGUCUGUGAAGAUGCGGACUACCUGCACCUGGACAGAAAGACCCUAUGAAGCUUUACUGUAACUUGAAAUUGAAAUUGGACUUUAUUUGCGCAGUAUAGGUGGGAGGCGUUGAGAAUAUUCUUGCGGGAAUAUUGGAGCCAUCAGUGAGAUACCACUCUUGUAAUGUUAGAUUUCUAACUUUGAAUCAUUAUCUGGUCAAAGGACAGUUUCAGGCGGGCAGUUUGACUGGGGCGGUCGCCUCCUAAAUGGUAACGGAGGCGCACAAAGGUUUCCUCUGAACGGGUAGAAAUCGUAUCUAGAGUGUAAAGGCAUAAGGAAGCUUGACUGUGAGACCUACAAGUCGAGCAGGGACGAAAGUCGGUCUUAGUGAUCUGACGGUGCUGAGUGGAAAGGCCGUCACUCAACGGAUAAAAGUUACUCUAAGGAUAACAGGCUGAUCUCCCCCAAGAGUUCACAUCGACGGGGAGGUUUGGCACCUCGAUGUCGGCUCAUCGCAUCCUGGGGCGGUAGUACGUCCCAAGGGUUGGGCUGUUCGCCCAUGAAAGCGGUACGCGAGCUGGGUUCAGAACGUCGUGAGACAGUUCGGUCCAUAUCCGGUGUAGGCGUUAGAAUAUUGAGAGGAGCCUUCUUUAGUACGAGAGGACCGAGAAGGACAUACCUCUGGUGUACCAGUUAUCGUGCCAACGGUAAACGCUGGGUAGCUAUGUAUGGAGAGGAUAGCCGCUGAAAGCAUCUAAGUGGGAAGCCCACCUCAAGAUAAG
rnacentral:rRNA from 1 species